GGCUCGGUAGCUUAGUUGGCAAAGCGCUCGUCUAGCAUACAAGAGUCCUGGGUUCAAAUACCAGCCGAGCAC
rfam:Aedes aegypti strain Liverpool supercont1.327 genomic scaffold, whole genome shotgun sequence.